GGGAGCGCGGUUACCUGCAGUCGACGAUGACGGAGAGCUUGCUCUUCUGAUUAGUGGCGAACGGGUGAGUAACACGUGAGCAAUCUGCCCUUGACUCUGGGAUAAGCGUUGGAAACGACGUCUAAUACCGGAUACGACCUUGGAAGGCAUCUUCUGGGGUGGAAAGAAUUUUGGUCAGGGAUGAGCUCGCGGCCUAUCAGCUAGUUGGUGAGGUAAUGGCUCACCAAGGCGACGACGGGUAGCCGGCCUGA
rnacentral:rRNA from 1 species